rnacentral:rRNA from 1 species
UACGUAGGGAGCGAGCGUUGUCCGGAUUUAUUGGGCGUAAAGGGCGUGUAGGCGGCUUGUUAAGUCUGGAGUGAAAAUCCGGGGCUCAACCCCGGAACUGCUUCGGAUACUGGCGAGCUUGAGUGCUCUAGAGGGCAGUGGAAUUCCCGGUGUAGCGGUGAAAUGCGUAGAUAUUGGGAGGAACACCAGUGGCGAAGGCGGCUACCUGGACCGGUUCUGACGCUGAUGCGCGAAAGCGUGGGUAGCAAACAGG